rnacentral:snoRNA from 1 species
AUGGCUAAUAUUAAAAAUCCAUAAGCAGGAGCCUAAAGAAAUGUCUUUCUGCAGUCUGUUGGCCAUUUCAGAACUUAGGAAAUGUAAUGGUCAGUUCAUUACAAAGAAACAUCU